CAUAAACAAAAGUAGAAAGAACUGUCCGAUUGAAUGUCCAUGUUAAGUAUGCUUGAAAAGUGCCAGAAUAUUUCUGCCUGAAUAGACUUACUUUUUACAUACAUUGUAUGAAUUGUAACAGUGUGUGUACUAAACCAAGUGUCUUCUUUAAGAUCAUAUUGAUGCUCUAUUUUCCUAACAACGAACUGAUCUGCUGAUAAAAUAUUACUACUUCCAAAAGUGGACAUUAAUAUAGCUGAAACCUAAACCUACUGAUACAAUAUGGAUAAAUUAAAGAUUCGAAGAUCUUAUUUUCAAACAAUUUUGGAUUUUUUGCCUCAUUUUGGAUCAUUUGGAAAUCGAUUACCGACAGUGAGCCGUGUACAAGAUAUUGAAUCUGACUUUGCUCGUUUAGAAAUCAGAAGUGGUCAUUUCCCGAGACUUAUUCUUUCAUUACAUCAGCAGUUUGCUUUCAAUGGAUUAAAUAGUAUUUUUUCUCCAUAUGUGAUGCCAGAUAAUAAUAAUAGUGGAACAAGAGCUCAGCUUCUGCUGACUUUUAGGAGUCAGCAAUAAUGAGAAUGAUGUAUUUAAAUUUUUAAAAAAUGUUUUGGAUGUAAUCAAUUAUCGGAGUGAAUUUGUAAUAUAGCAAGAGAUAUUGUUACAAAUAUCUUGAGUAACUAGAAAAUUAAAUUUGUAUACUCUUUUUCUAGUCAUGUUUGAUUUUGAAAUGUUUUAUUUUAUACUGAGUUUUAUGAGGAAAUGAGCUUUUAAUUCAUUCAUUCAUUCUUUUUCCUCUAAAACUUUGUACAGUGAUGAAUUAUAUGUAAUAUGAAAAUGUGUCCUGUAAAUUAAGAAUAUUCACUGAAAACCUCAGUAGAUGUAUAAUGUAAUUAACUGAGUAUUAUCUUAAUGAACAAAAUUUUAACUGUACUUUUAGCGUCUGUACUCAAACUUUGUAUGAAAUUGUGUGUUUUUGAUUCUAAAAUCUCGAAUAUUUUUUAUCAGUUUUGAACCGUUUUUAAAUAUAAUUUGAUUUAAAGAACAAAUUUUCCUUUUUAUUGUGUCCAUUAAGCAGAAACUCUUGUUUUUAUGUUGAAAUUAUUUUUCAUAAAUUUUUUGGUAUUUACUGUUUAAUUGUAACUUUUAAAUUGCACGAGUAAAUUGUUAUUCUUUAUCUAUUUCGAUAUUUUACUUAUUUUUCUAGUGUAAUAUAAUAGGUAACAAAUCGUGCAUCAUGUAAAUUUUGCUUAGUAAGUUUAAGUGUUGUAGAUUUAAUGAUGCUGGCAUUUUAUUACUUAUGGCUGAAUUGUUAUAACAAGGAUAAGUGGUGCCCAGAGAAUAAUGGAAUUUUUUCCUUCGCCUCUAGUUAUUAUCAGUAGUAAACUAAUGUUCAGUAUUAUUUUUUUUACCUCUUCAACAAAUUUAACUUUUAAAUAAUGACAUAUGCAUUAACAUUUUGUUCCAUAGCAGUCUCUAAGUCUGGUAUUCUGUGUAUCUAUAUCCCCCAUCCCAUUGCUAUGCCACUGAGACUGAACUAAUAGUAAUCAUUUGCUUUAAAAAAUUUUAUAUUUAACAGUUUUAUUGGAAAUUUAUGCAGUAAUUAAUUAUGGCAUUGAGAAAUUCAUAUUUAUGAAGAAAAAGUCCCACAGUAAAGCACUUUUUACAAUUUCUUUUUUUAAAUGUCUUGUGUUUAAUUUUUUUAAAAAAUUAUUACAUUAAAUAAAAUUCUUUAAUUAUAAGUCUGAGCUUUAUAUAUGUUACUUCAUACGAAUGGUUCUAAUAAAUUUUAUUUGGUUUUAAUUAUUAUUGGAUUAACCAUGGAAAUUUAGAUUGAUGGUGUUGAAUUAAUAUUGGUGAUAUAACUUCAGAUAUACUUAUCUUUCUGCUGGUAUGGAUUUCAACACUAUGUUUUAUACUUUAAGUUUUGUUUUUCAUUAUUUUUAAAUUUAAAAAUGGGUACCAAGCCUCAAAAUCCGUUUUUAUUUUGUGGUUACAGUAAAGGAAGAAUGAUAAUAUCCCUGCUUCUUCAUAAUAGAAAUUAGAUGUCAGAAUAUGUCAGUUUUUUUAGAAGUAAUUUAAAAAUUGCAAAUCUCCCCCCCCCCCCUAUUUUUUUUGUUCAUUAUGGACCAUCUUUUUCUUGAUAGAUAAGAUGUAACAAAGUAGCUUGCACCUUAAACUGUGUGAGUGCUUGGGGUUGAUAUUCAGGUAUAGAUAGAACAUAAGAAAUUUUUUUAAUCUGUUACAUAUUUCUAAAAUGGUACUGUGCCAUGGAAUUUCUUGGCAAACAUGGCUCUUUAUAAACAAUAGUAUGUAUUUAAAAAAUUAAUCUGUUGGAUAUAUAUAAGGUACCCCUUCCCAAAAGGGCAGCAAGCAUUUAUUUCCCUAAUUAUUGCACAUAUACAUGUAAUUGUAAUUAUAAAGUUUUAUUAAAUUAUGUGGGUAAUUGUUUGAAAAUGUCUUUGCACCUUAGGAGGUUUUAAGUUAAAAAAAAAAUAAUGUCCCCCAGAAUGUGAAAAUGCCAAUUAGUUAAAUGUUUCUUUUACAUUCUUCUGUGCACAUACAAAGUUUCACAUUUCUACGCAUAACAUUGGUAGAUAUGCUACUUUUUAAAUUUGAAGGGACUAAUCGCAUAUUUAGACGAAGACAUUUAUUUCAAAGAUACAAUUUUAUUCAAUACAGAAAAUCUGUUAUUUAUAAAUAUUUAUUUAGUUUCACAACAUCCAAUCAACAUGACUUCAAAGAAAUUUGCUUAUCACAUGCAAUAUUUUCACUUUGAUUGGUUGAUUUUAUAAAGAAGGGAAGAGAAACUUGAUAAAAUAAACAUUCAAGAUAUUUUGGAGAAGUACUAGCAUACCGAGCAAGAAAAUAACAUUCUUUGGUCGCAAUUCUGUGCUUUCUAGAAGAAUGACAUUUUCAGUAACAAGGAUUGUUUGAUAUUCUGACGAUUUAUGUUAUAUAUAAUCGUAAUGCUGGUCUAAUUGAUAAAGAAUACAACAGUUGUUUUUCGAAUUACCAGCGUCCUUUUAAGAAAUGUUUUUACAGAACAUUUUAUCCAUUAUAGUAUCCUUAUUUACAACCUACAAGAUCCUUAUUUUCAAGGGAGAAAUUAGACGUUAUACAUGUGAUAUAGAAAUUGUCAUUUUGCCUUUCUUUUUAAGUUAAUCUCAUGCUAGUGUAUGAACAAUCUGUUCAGAUUCCAAAACCAACAGUGUUGAGAAUAUUUGAAAGUAAUAACUGGCAUUUUUAUAAUAUUCAUGGAGUCCUUGAACAGUUAUCAUGAUUAAAUGGACAACUACGUGAUUGACAUUUUGGCUUUUUGCAAGUGGGUACCUAAUUUACCCAAUUGGGUAUGAAUUUACCUGAGGUAAAAUCAAAUCCUUCCUUUCUGACAAAUGCAAUUUGGACAAACGUAUGUUGCUUUAAUCGUGAUAGAAGCAUUAAUCUUCAAAACUAUGACUUUUAGAACGGUAAAAAUCUAUUUUUCGUACUUGGUUUCAUCACCAGUGGCCAUUUUUUUUACAAAUUUGUGGUGUGGAAUUUAUAGACACUAAUCAGUGGAUUCCGUUUUGUACAACAGUAUGCGGAAUGGUGAUCGAUUUGUAUAAAAGUGCUAUACUCUAUCUUCACAACUAUUUCCUUCAAUUCAAAUUUUUAUAUAUUUUGUGUUUUGACAUUUUCAUUGCUUGUUAUCACCAAUCAUGUACAUGUCUUCCAGAAUAAUGCUUGCAUUUCUGUCAUUUCAUGGGUUUUUUUUCCCCUUUUUUUAUUUGUGUGAAGAAGAUAUUAAUCUGAUUUUUAUUAUGGAAAAUAUUAUAUGAACUUAUGUAUGUGUGUGUUGUUUAUAUUAAUGUUAAAUGAUAUUUUGUUUCCUGUGCAUGUACUAGGGAUUAUUACUUUUGAUUUAAGUACUUACUGGUGCCACUUUAACAAUUAAGUGAUAAAUAUAUUAUCCAUAAAAUAGUUAAGAAAAAAAAGCCAACAAAACCACAAAGUGAGUCAUAUUGUAAAUAUUGCAGUUAAAAUUUUGAUCUAUCCAAUUUAUUCUUCCUGAUUAAACAAAUCUAUGAGCAUAAUAAAGCCUUAUAUUCUGCGUUUUUUAGAAUUGCUGACAAAUUAGUAUUUGCUUUAAUAUUGUCUAACCAGUCUCCUUUUAUGAUUAGUAUACUUAUAAAAUGUUCAUUCGGAAUAAUUAUGUUUAAUUGUCUAUUUACUUAAUGUAAAAUCAGCACAAUUGUUGAAAAAUCCACUUUACUUGAAUGGCUACUUCUUCCUUACAUGGAUAGCCUUGUAUACUUUAGAUGUUAGUGUAAUAAGUUCUUGUAAGACUGUUGUUUUGUACUUUUUGAUAUACUUCUUUAUAUUUUAAGCAUUUACAAUUACUAUUUGUAUGUUUUGUAUGAUGUUAUAUUUGUAAUUUUGAAAUAAAUUCCUUUCUUAAAUCAAA